rnacentral:tRNA from 1 species
AUUUAAGUAGUUUAUAUAAGAUGUAGUAUUGUGGUUACUAGGAAGUAAUUUUUGCCUUAAAUU